rnacentral:rRNA from 1 species
GAUGAACGCUGGCGGCGUGCCUAAUACAUGCAAGUCGAGCGAACAGAUGAGGAGCUUGCUCCUCUGACGUUAGCGGCGGACGGGUGAGUAACACGUGGAUAACCUACCUAUAAGACUGGGAUAACUUCGGGAAACCGGAGCUAAUACCGGAUAAUAUAUUGAACCGCAUGGUUCAAUAGUGAAAGACGGUUUUGCUGUCACUUAUAGAUGGAUUCGCGCCGCAUUAGCUAGUUGGUAAGGUAACGGCUUACCAAGGCAACGAUGCGUAGCCGACCUGAGAGGGUGAUCGGCCACACUGGAACUGAGACACGGUCCAGACUCCUACGGGAGGCAGCAGUAGGGAAUCUUCCGCAAUGGGCGAAAGCCUGACGGAGCAACGCCGCGUGAGUGAUGAAGGUCCUCGGAUCGUAAAACUCUGUUAUUAGGGAAGAACAAAUGUGUAAGUAACUAUGCACGUCUUGACGGUACCUAAUCAGAAAGCCACGGCUAACUACGUG